ACGGGUGAGUAACGCGUGGGAAUCUACCCAUCUCUACGGAACAACUCCGGGAAACUGGAGCUAAUACCGUAUACGUCCUUCGGGAGAAAGAUUUAUCGGAGAUGGAUGAGCCCGCGUUGGAUUAGCUAGUUGGUGGGGUAAUGGCCUACCAAGGCGACGAUCCAUAGCUGGUCUGAGAGGAUGAUCAGCCACACUGGGACUGAGACACGGCCCAGACUCCUACGGGAGGCAGCAGUGGGGAAUAUUGGACAAUGGGCGCAAGCCUGAUCCAGCCAUGCCGCGUGAGUGAUGAAGGCCCUAGGGUUGUAAAGCUCUUUCAACGGUGAAGAUAAUGACGGUAACCGUAGAAGAAGCCCCGGCUAACUUCGUGCCAGCAGCCGCGGUAAUACGAAGGGGGCUAGCGCUGUUCGGAAUUACUGGGCGUAAAGCACACGUAGGCGGAUACUUAAGUCAGGGGUGAAAUCCCGGGGCUCAACCCCGGAACUGCCUUUGAUACUGGGUAUCUCGAGUCCGGAAGAGGUGAGUGGAAUUCCGAGUGUAGAGGUGAAAUUCGUAGA
rnacentral:rRNA from 1 species